AUUGAACGCUGGCGGCAGGCCUAACACAUGCAAGUCGAGCGGAGCGGCGGACUGGUGAGUAAUGUCUGGGACACUGCCUGAUGGAGGAGGACAACAUCUCGAAAGGGAUGCUAAUACCGCAUACUAAUAGAUGACCCUAAGUCGGAUUAGCUAGUUGGUGGGGUAAAGGCCUACCAAGGCGACGCUCUGGAGCGGGUCUGAGAGGGUGAUCCGUCACACUGGUACUGAGACACGGCCCAGACUCCUACGGGAGGCAGCAGUGGGGAAUAUUGGACAAUGGGGGGAACCCUGAUCCAGCCAUGCCGCGUGUGUGAAGAAGGCCUUAUGGUUGUAAAGCACUUUAAGCGAGGAGGCGUUACUCGCAGAAUAAGCACCGGCUAACUCUGGGCCAGCCGCCGCGGUAAUAC
rnacentral:rRNA from 1 species